rnacentral:ncRNA from 14 species
UGAGAGACAUGCAGGAGCUCGUGGAUACGGGCUGAGAGGGCAACCAGCAACUCCGUUGCCGACUGUUUGAACCGGUCUGGGUAAUGCCGGCGGAGGAAGUUGGCCUGCCAUUUGGC